UGGGGUCCCCCAGGUGGAUUUUGAGGGUUCCCAGGUGAUUUUUGGGGUCCCUCAGGUGGGAUUUGGGGUCCCGCCCCCGUCACACCUGGGGGGGGUCGCUGGCUCCUCCUGUGGGGGGAGAGAGAGAGAAAAAAGGGGCUGGAGACCCCCCAAAAAAUCCCCAAAAUCCUUCAGGUGAGUCUGGGGCCCCCCAGGUGCCCCCCCAGGUGAGUCUGGGGUCCCCCAGAUAAAUUUUGGGGUCCCCCAGGUGGAUUUUGGGGUCCCCCAGGUGAGUUUUGGGGUCCCCCAGAUAAAUUUUGGGGUCCCCCAGGUGCCCCCCCAGGUGAGUCUGGGGUCCCCCAGAUGAAUUUUGGGGUCCCCCAGGUGGGUUUGGGGUCCCUCAGGUGAGUUAUGGGGGUCCCCCAGGUGAAUUUUGAGGUCCCCCAGGUGAAUUUGGGGUCCCCCAGGUGGAUUUGGGGUCCCCCAGGUGCCCCCCCAGGUGAGUUUUGGGGUCCCCCAGGUGGGUUUGGGGUCCCUCAGGUGAAUUUGAGGUCCCCCAGGUGAAUUUGGGGUCCCCCAGGUGAGUCUGGGACCCCCCAAGACCCCCAAACCACAGCCAGGGUGGGUCGGGGACGGGAUGAGUUUAAUGCAGGUGAGCUCCAGGUGAGUCCAGGUGUGCCCAGGUGAGUCCAGAUGUGCCCCAGGUGAGCUCAGGUGAGUCAGUGCAGCAGCGACAGCCCCGAAAAUCCCCCAGAGACCCCAAAAAAGACCCCAAAAAUCCCCUCCCAGAGCCAAAAAGCAGCUCCCAGGUGAGUCCAGGUGAGUCCAGAUGUGCCCCAGAUGUGCCCAGGUGAGCUCAGGUGAGUCAGUGCAGCAGCGACAGCCCCGAAAAUCCCCCAGAGACCCCAAAAAGACCCCAAAAGUUCCCCCCAAAGCCCCUCCCAGAGCCAAAAAGCAGCGCCCAGGUGAGUCCAGGUGAGUCCAGAUGUGCCCCAGAUGUGCCCAGGUGAGCUCAGGUGAGUCAGUCCAGCAGCGACAGCCCCGAAAAUCCCUCAGAGACCCCAAAAAACCCCAAAAGUUCCCCCCAAAGCCCCUCCCAGAGCCAAAAAGCAGCGCCCAGGUGAGUCCAGAUGUGCCCAGGUGAGUCCAGAUGUGCCCAGGUGUGCCCAGAUGUGCCCAGGUGAGCUCAGGUGAGUCAGUGCAGCAGCUCCAGGCAGCGACAGCCCCGAAAAUCCCCCAGAGACCCCAAAAAAACCCCAAAAAGACCCAAAAAAGCAGCACCCAGAGCCAAAAAGCAGCGCCCAGGUGAGUCCAGGUGAGCUCCAAGUGAGUCCAGAUGUGCCCCAGAUGUGCCCAGGUGAGCUCAGGUGAGUCAGUGCAGCAGCGACAGCCCCGAAAAUCCCUCAGAGACCCCAAAAAACCCCAAAAGUUCCCCCCAAAGCCCCUCCCAGAGCCAAAAAGCAGCGCCCAGGUGAGUCCAGGUGAGUCCAGAUGUGCCCCAGAUGUGCCCAGGUGAGCUCAGGUGAGUCAGUGCAGCAGCGAC